rnacentral:rRNA from 1 species
GAGUUUGAUCUUGGCUCAGAUUGAACGCUGGCGGCAUGCCUAACACAUGCAAGUCGAACGGCAGCACAGCAGAGCUUGCUCUGUGGGUGGCGAGUGGCGGACGGGUGAGUAAUGCAUCGGGAUCUACCCAAACGUGGGGGAUAACGUAGGGAAACUUACGCUAAUACCGCAUACGUCCUACGGGAGAAAGCGGGGGAUCUUCGGACCUCGCGCGGUUGGAUGAACCGAUGUGCGAUUAGCUAGUUGGCGGGGUAAUGGCCCACCAAGGCGACGAUCGCUAGCUGGUCUGAGAGGAUGAUCAGCCACACUGGAACUGAGACACGGUCCAGACUCCUACGGGAGGCAGCAGUGGGGAAUAUUGGACAAUGGGCGCAAGCCUGAUCCAGCAAUGCCGCGUGUGUGAAGAAGGCCUCGGUU